GACAAGACGGCCCAGACGGACGGAUGGGCGGGCGGACGAGCGGACGGACGAGCGGACGGACGGGGCCGACCGUACGAACCCACGAGGCCCAAUGACAACAAGUGAAGGCUAUAAAUACCUCUCCUGGUCCAACUGGGAGGGGGGUUGAUAAUUCUGAGAGAGUGAACACUGGAGAGUUGAGGUUGUGGGCUUACACCGGCGAGCACACGCACCAACAU
rnacentral:lncRNA from 1 species